rnacentral:rRNA from 1 species
UGGGGAAUAUUGCACAAUGGGCGCAAGCCUGAUGCAGCCAUGCCGCGUGUGUGAAGAAGGCCUUCGGGUUGUAAAGCACUUUCAGCGAGGAGGAAGGUGGUGAACUUAAUACGUUCAUCAAUUGACGUUACUCGCAGAAGAAGCACCGGCUAACUCCGUGCCAGCAGCCGCGGUAAUACGGAGGGUGCAAGCGUUAAUCGGAAUUACUGGGCGUAAAGCGCACGCAGGCGGUUUGUUAAGUCAGAUGUGAAAUCCCCGGGCUCAACCUGGGAACUGCAUUUGAAACUGGCAAGCUAGAGUCUCGUAGAGGGGGGUAGAAUUCCAGGUGUAGCGGUGAAAUGCGUAGAGAUCUGGAGGAAUACCGGUGGCGAAGGCGGCCCCCUGGACGAAGACUGACGCUCAGGUGCGAAAGCGUGGGGCAGCAAACAGGAUUAGAUACCCUGGUAGUCCACGCUGUAAACGAUGUCGAUUUUGGAGGUUGUGCCCUUGAGGCGUGGCUUCCGGAGCUAACGCGUUAAAUCGACCGCCUGGGGAGUACGGCCGCAAGGUUAAAACUCAAAUGAAUUGC